rnacentral:lncRNA from 1 species
GGAAAAGAGGGAGGCUUGGGAGCGGCCUAGUGUGAACCGUUCGGAUCAGAUGGUCCGUUUCGACUCCGUCAGUAGAAAAAGGGCGGGGGAAAUCAAUGAUGGUGAAGCGAAGUUGCCGAAAUCGACGAGAAUCAGCAAGAUCAUAAGUGUUUAUAGUACGCAUCUUUAUGUUAUGCUCUGAGUUCAGGAAAGUUAUCGCAUCUUUUCGUUAUACUCUGAGUUCAGGGAAAGGCGCAGCGGGAUCAUAAGUGUUUAUUGUACGCGAUCUUAUCAUUUUUUUUCAAAACGUUAUUUUCAUGACUUGAACUCAUUACUUCCUAA